ACAAUAAAUGUUCACGUCUAUAAAUCAUAAUUAUUAUGUAUUUUCAAUAAAUCCCCGUACCUACAUAAUACGAGUACAUCAUUAACGUUCAUUGUACUUCAUAUAUCCUAAUUGGAUGUAAAAUAAAAGUUCCGGCGCGUCGAUAUUUCAGCUAUUUUUAAGUUCUAAUUUCAGUCACCGUGACAUCGCAUCAGUAUAAUGAGUAUUGUUUGAAAAAUUCGCAAAGUGUAAAUGUUUUCAUUAAUAUAUUAGUCACAGUUUAUUCAAAUUAUUUGAAUCCUAAGGUGAACGAUAAGAUAACGCCAAGAUAAUCACGGGCAUAACAGUGACAUGGAAAAAAAAGUGUGUAAAGUGUAUACAGAUCCAAAAAUUUAAUUUUAAAUCAACAAAUAUAAGAUAUUUAUGGAAAACGUAGAGUUGAGAAGAGACCCUAACAGGAAAUCAAAGAAUAAAUUAAAGUUAUCAUCAUUGACAUCCUAUUUUCGAUCAAGUAAAUCAGGCAACAACCUAAUAUCGCCUCCAAUAAAUUUUGAAAAAAUAGAUUUAAUACCAUCCAAUGUUUCUUCGCAUAUUUCUAUUCAAGAAUGCCCAUUUGAUGUUACCGGUUACGGUAUGUUGAUCAUGAAGGAUAAAUUUAAAUUAAAAAAACCUGUAAAGAAGAAAAAUGUUUUAGUUUUUAUGUUCGAGAGAAUCAUUAUCAUCACGACUGUAAGUAUUAGUCAAAUAACCGAGGCGGAAGUCAUUUACAAGCAUUGAAAUGCAUAAGAACAUUCAUAGUUGCCGUUUGCCGAUCGGUCUGCCGUUCGUGACUUUCAACAUAAACGGAUUGUAUCUUUUCCCGUGGACCGUUCGUUGCAACUUUCGUAGCAAUAGAAAAGAGCCUCUCAUUCGUUUAUGUUUGUCACGUGAUUUUGUCAUAUGACGUUAAAUCGUGAUGUUGGAUUUAUUUCUCUUUCUGUUCGUUUGUUUAUGAUUAUGGUAGUAUUUUGGCUUUGCUUGUUUUCUCUUCGUUAUUGUCUUGAUAUCGACCAUAAAUACCGGAUUAUAAACAAAAAUAUCACGUCAAAAAGAAUAACAAGAUUUUUAGGUUAAUGUCAAUGGUGUAGAAUUUGCUACAAACGUGAAACGUCAUCCGCGAAUGACAACGGUAACGGGAAGUCAAGUAUGUGAAUCGGGCUUUAAGCUGUUUAUGCCGGAUAUUAUUGUUACCUUUCUUGUUUUCUUUUUUUUCAAUUUUCUUCAGAUUGAUUUUCAGCUGAUCAUUAUCCUUCAAAUCAUUUAUAGUCUCUCGAUAUACAUGUUUCAAUUGCUUUGGCUUUUGUUUGGUUAUAACUGUUUAUAUAUUUUUUCCCUAAAAAUAUAAUGUUAGUUUUAAAGUACAAUUGAUAUUAUUUCAAAUAAUGCUGCACUUGAUAAAAUUCAAGGAAUCGUACAGCCAUUGAAAUUAAUUUCAACAUAAACGGAUUGUAUCUUUUCCCGUGGACCGUUCGUUGCAACUUUCGUAGCAAUAGAAAAGAGCCUCUCAUUCGUUUAUGUUUGUCACGUGAUUUUGACGUAUGACGUUAAAUCGUGAUGUUGGAUUUAUUUCUCAUUCUGUUCGUUUGUUUAUAAUUAUGGUAGUAUUUUGGCUUUACUUGUUUUCUCUUCGUUAUUGCCUUGACAUCGUCCAUAAAUAUCGGACUUCUUGUUUUCUUUUUUUUUCCAAUUUUCUUUAGAUAGAUCUUCGGCUGAUCAUUGAUCCUUCAGAUCAUUUAUACAGUCUCGAUAUACCUGCUUCAAUUGCUUUGGUUUCUGUUAAUUUGUAACAUAUUUUUUUCUCUAUUAUUAUAAUAUUAGUUUUAGAGUAGAAUUUAUAUUAUUUCAAAUAAUGCUGCACUUGAUAAAAUUCAAGGAAUCGUACAGCCAUUGAAAUUACAAGAAAAAUCAAUCAUAAAAGCAAUCUAGUAUAGAAUACCAACUAAAUACUUGUUUGAUGAGUAGGAAGAAUAUCUUCAAGAUUUAUUUAUAUUCUUAAUAAGGAGGAACAACCUGAUAUAUAUUAUUAUUUGGGAAGCAUAAAAAUGUGUGACUUGAGCAUGUCUGCAACAACAAAAAGAAACAGGAUAUUACUCAAUGAUUUCAACAAAAAUAGAAAUAGACAGACGCAUUUGAACGUAGAAUAUAGCCUGAAGACAAAAAAUCUAGAGACUGUUGAUAAAUGGAGAUAUACUAUUGAAAAAUGUUUAUGGAAAGAAUUGCUCACUGCUCGAGAAAAAUCCCUAGAAGACUUGCAAGGUGCUUCUUGAAGAUUUGCAACUGAAAUGUUAACCAGUGACUGUGAUUUAUGCAACUUACAUACUAGCACUUACUUUUUUUGAAAAAUGAAUAGUUUGUUAAAUAAAAGCAUCAAUAAUUUUCAA